GGUGCCACCACCCACCCCACUGCCAUCAUGACCCCUGGAUGCUGGUCCUGCACCAGGAUGGAACCUCCACUGUCUCUUUGUGUCACCCAGAUAGCUGGGUCUGAGUGCCCACUACCCACUGCAAGGGAGGCCUGGAAAGUGAGCACCCAGCUUUUCUGCUUUUUUUUUGGUGAGUCACAUCCAAACAUAAGCAAGAUGUUCAGAAGCCAGGAUACCUCCCAAUAUUUGGCAUCCACUCCAAAAAGACCUGGCUACCUACAAGGCUCUGGUCUUACAGAAUGGAAUAGUCACAUUUGGGGCCAGAAUCAAAUAUCUCAGGGUAGUAGAAAGAGGACUCAUGUUGCCAUUAACCACUGCUGCCACCCCACCCCACCCCCGCUUCUAAAUGCCAAGGCUUUCAUUUUGAAGCUGAGUUAAACUAUCUGCUUGCCCAGGGCAUCUUCACUCCUCAAUUAGAACCUGGCCAUUCCCCAAUCAUGAGUUGUGUUGGGUCAGGUCAGGAAGGAGGGACUUAGACUCUGAUACACAGAGAGUCUAAGCUUACAUCCUUGGAAUGAGCUGUGCAGGCCUCUUUCUAAUUGUGGGCAUGAGAGGAGGGUGGCCUGCACCAUGAGCUCUGGCAACUUCAGUAGUGUGGUCUAUAAGAUUAGGAAAUCUAUGCAACUGAGAACACAAUGAUCAAUGACUCUUAUUUGUGCCACAUACCUGCCCACACUGUCAGGGUCCUCUGGGGCUAGGAUGACACAAUUGUGUCCUCCAACUCCCCUUCCCUUGUUGACUCCCAGGUGUCCACAACCCAAUCAUUUUGCAGGCAAAAUUACUGAGACCCAGAAAGGGCCAUAGAUGGCACCUCAUCUGGCAAAGACCAGAGAUUGUAGGAAACCAGGCAGGAGCAGGCAACAUCCCUUUACCAAGAUGCAGGUCGGGACCAGCUUGGAUUCAAGGGGCCUGAAUAAGUCAGCUUUUGCCAAUAGCCCUGAAAUAUCAAUGACACAACAAACAUUUAUUUCUGGCUCCCAUCCAUAUAUGCUGUGGGUCAGCUUUGGCUCAGUUUCCUCCAUCUUCAUUUCAAGACCUGGACUAGAUGUGAACACCUUAUUUUGGUCCCGUGGAAGAAAGGAAAGAAUAGUAGCGGAAAUAUGUAAGAGUUCUUAAAGCUGCUACUCAGAACUGCCACAUGGCACUUCCCUUCACUUCCAGGGGCCAAAGCAAGUUGCAUGGCCAAAUCUGAUGUCAGUGAAGUGGGAUGAUUAUGACCUGAUGAGGAGAACAGGAAACAAGAGAAACAGUAACAAAAUCUGCUAUAAAGCCUUCCCUCCGGAAGGCACAGCAGCAGCCCCCAUGCUGGGUUUCCUGCUCCUCUGAUCUGCAUGUCCUCCAGGUCCGUCCCAUUUCUCUUGCUCCUUCCUUCUGGGUUUGGCCCCAGAAUCCUAGUCCCAUUUUAAGAUGUAGAGACUGAGGUCCACAGAGGAGCCCCAGAUCACCAACCCCUCCCUAAUGCCCUUCCCUAGACAAGGGGUCCCCUGCAUACCUCAUUCCCUUCCUUACCUCCUUCAGAUCCCCAGAAAUACCUGCUGUCUGCAGAGCACCAGCACACACCCACUAUCAGUUCGUAUGCUCCUCAUUUUGUCUCCCGUGCGUUCUAUGAGGUCAGGAAAUUGUAAAGCAGAGUUGGAAUGCAGGGUGCCCCUAGUCCUGAGCUGCAAACCUGACUGGACCUCAGUUUAACCCAGUUCCAAAGCUGGUGUCCCAUCCCCAUCCCUCAUGCUGGCCCCAAUCCCUUCCUCCUCAGCCCAGGCCCACAUUCAUUGCCACCUGUGGUGUCAUCCAGGGUCAGUAUGUCUUGGCCAUGGGACUGUUCCCUCCUUACCAGCCCAAACUAAUCUUUAAUUCAAACCCACGAAGCCAGCCCUUCAGCUCCCAUUGCCAGGCGCAGAAAUGAGGAUAAAUGCGACUGUCAGCAGCUUCCUGCCUCUUUGUUUUUUAAUUUACUUAGAGUUGGGCAGCAGAGAUGGCAGGAGAGGAAGCAGAUGGCUCAGUGUGACAGAUGGGAUCCUAUCCAGUGACACAAGGACAAGGUGAGAGAAAGCGUGAUCAAGAGAAAACGCAGGCUCCGCAGGAGAGCAUGUAUGCAUGGGCUCCUGUGCCAGGAUGUCUAAGCUUGCCAGGCUCAGGACACUAGGCUGGGGCCCCAGUUUGCCCAGCCCAACACCUUCACCUGAGGGUGAGGACACUGAUGCCCAGAGAGGGUCACCACUGGAAGGACACCUGACUCCACGCAGUCCCAGCUACACUCUAUUGUACUCAUGAUAGGUGAUGCUUAUGGACUGGCUCCCAGGGCUGCCCCACCCUCUUCAUGCCCUACCAUGCAUUCUUACAAAGUCUAGCUUCAGCCCUGGCUUGCCUACACUAAAGAUUCUCCAGGCAAGCUUUCAUAGGAGUGUGUCAUGCCUAGAACAUCCCAAGGUCUCCAGCAUAUGAAUAGCAGUGCUAGGGCUUCAACUCAGGACAGGGGGCUUGCAAAGGGCAGCUCCCUUGCCACCUCUUAUCCAACCUCCUGAGAAAGCACACAGGUGGCAGAAAGCACACAAGUAGAAGAAAGGGAUGACUGUGAUCAGAGCUUUUAGAUCUGCCCCACCCUGGUUAUGUCGCAGAGGGAAAACAGCAUUGUAUCCAAGGGCAGCUGAGUUCAAAGGGGAGGGGAGCUUGAGAUAAAAGACCCUUUUGUUUCCUUGGGUACACCUGAGAGAUUCAGGCAAGACAGGUGGCCCAUAGCAGAAGGCUAUGGAGCUCAGCACAACAGUGAGAAUCUGGAGCUCCCAGAACAAUUGGGAGAAAAGGGAGAGGAGAGGAGAUGGACUGGGCAAGGAAACCCAGAGCCUGUGAUGACAAGAGCAAGCUUUUUUCUGUUCUAGGGAAGUCUGGUUUUGCAGAAGCUGUGGGAAGGGCUGCAUUUAUCUCAUUAACAGUACAGGAAAGAAGCAACACGAGUGAGAAAAAAGCAUGAUCCAGAAAUGGGGCUAACUCAGAGCCAAAGGUGACCGUGGGAAAAGAAGUCCCCUCAGAAUUUAUAGAAAUCUUAGGAGCACUGGAUCCUCCUCAGAAUGGGGGUUGGAAAGUUUGAGUCAAUCAUAAGGUAAAAGGAUGCAUUUGGGACACAGUAUUAUGAAGGUCAUUUUGUAGAAGAGAGGUGGAGAUGAGGAAACCGCUCUUUCCAUGAGCAUUGUACCUGAGGAGAGCUGAGGAUGAGCACGUGGGGGGUCUCAGGACCGGCCCACUCCCCAGCCCUCCUCGUCCAUAUCACAUGCAGUCCUCCUGUUUUAUAGAUGAGGAAAGAGACUCAGCCAAUGAAGUGAUUUGUUUGCCCAUGGCCACAGCCUGAAAGAGGGGAGCCAGGAUUCAAACUCAGGUCUAUCCAAUCCUAAAAGUCAGCUGUUUCUUCUCCCAGAAACCAGGCUCCACCUGGACAUGAUAAGCUUUAAGGCUAGGCAAGGCCUUUCUCCUCACUGACCCUGGUUUUCCUCACCUGCCCCAUAUGAGCCAGGUGGUAUACCUGUCAUUUCCAGAGGCCCCACGCCUAUGCCAGGGUGGGGGUGAAAUACAGAGGCGCUGCACACUCGGACCAGCAGCCAAGACUUUAAGCUGCUGGGCUUUGGAGGUGUGAGCAUUUCCCAUCCUGACCUGCCCAGGCUCCCUUACAAAGCCCAGGAGGAGGGCCAUCCCUCCCAGGCUGAGAGUUGAGGGGGAAGGUGGGGGACAGGGAUUCUCACAAACAGGGCAGGUUCCUAGAGGAUAAAGACUUCUGUAUGUAUUUACUGAGAAUGCCAAAGCCAGGUUCUGCAAUCAGACCAGAGGAGUCCAGAGGUGAGCAAGGCAGGAAUGCUGAUCUCCAGCCUGAAACCUCCUCUUGCUCAGGAUCCUGCCAAGAAAUAUGAAUCCAUUCAGUGAGGAGAUUUUGGCAAAGGGACCCCAUGCAGGGAUGUGAGCAGGAUGGUGACUCGUCAUUGUGGGAGUCAUUCUACCUCAAGGCCUGAAGGGACAGAAGGAAGAAAUGGUGACUCAGCCUCCUGAGAGCUGAAGGUAUAGAGGAGCAGCUGCCUGCUCAUCGCUGUCACAGAGAACCCAGACCCUGCCACAGACAUGAUGCCAGAGCAGGACAGGAGUGAGGAAGAAAUACCUGACCUCCCCACCUUCCACCUGCCCGUCUCCUGUGCUGCGUCCCUAGACUGAACCUAACCAGAUGCCUGAGGGCAAAGGUGAUGAUGCAAUCUGUGGGGGUCAGAAGCCAGAGAAAGGAAUGGAAGGAAACUGCAAUGGAGAAGAACCAGCCAGCCCUGGAAUGUGGCCAUCAGAUUUCUCUCAGAAACCCCUCCUGAUAAUGCACUGGUAUUUAUAGGUUAGAGGUGGAAAUGAGAAUCCUAUAGUUAGGGUCAGGCAGAUUUUCUUCACUGCUCACCCUUCUAGAAAGUCAUUGACUCAUGUUGAUCCAGAGUCCCUUAGGCCCUCUUGCCUCAGAUCCCAAAUGUGAAGAUUGUGGUUCGGGCUGGAGAUCACAGUCUUCAUCCUUCCAGCUCAGUGCAAUCCUCCCAGGGAGCACCACAGAGUCAGCCCUGACACUAGGCACUCUCUUCAUAGGUGUUCCUGAGGGCUCAAAAGACAGUCAGCCUAAAGAGUCAUCUUUAUGGAUUUUCAUUACACUGAAAACUAUACAGGUUUCCAAUUAAACACAGAAUUCUCACCUUCCCAAUUUUUCUCCUCUCCCCUUAGUCCUGCUCCAAUCUUGGACAAGCCACUAGAAUCCAAAAUCAUUCCUGGACAGAGAAACUAAUUUGGAAAUACUUAAGUCAUUGGAAGAGGCAAAGGUGAUCCUUGAAGCCACACUCCAAGUGACUUUAGGAGGGAUGCAUGUGAACCAGAGACUUGUCACCCUCCAUGCGAUAAUGCUGCAAAGAUUUGUUGGACUUCAAUAGAUUAGGAAAACCGCACUGUUAUCAGCCAGAGUUCAGCUGUACUCAGCAUGACUUCAGCAAACCCCGUAUUACUGCGAUUUUGCUAUCGUAUGAUUUUCAUGUUCCUUUCUCCUGGUCAGUAAUUUCCAAACACACUUGUUCACCUCCAAAUUCCAAUUCUUUACGCCUUCAAGGCCCAUCUCAAAAGGCAUCACCAUCAUUCAUUCAUUUAUUCAAAAGAUAUUUGAGGGAGUUCCCAUUGUGAUGCAGCAGAAACAAAUCCGACUAGAAACCAUGAGGUUGCGGGUUCAAUCCCUGGCCUUGCUCAGUGGGUUAAGGAUCUGGCAUUGCCAUGAGCUGUGGUGUAGGUCGAAGACACAGCUCGGAUCUCACAUUGCUGUGGCUCUGGUGUAGGCCAGCAGCUACAGCUCCAAUUAGACCUCUAGCCUGGGAACCUCCAUAUGCCGUGGGUGCAGCC
rnacentral:lncRNA from 1 species